rnacentral:rRNA from 1 species
AGGACGAACGCUGGCGGCGUGCUUAACAUAUGCAAGUCGAGCGGAAAGGCCCUUCGGGGUACUCGAGCGGCGAACGGGUGAGUAACACGUGAGUAAUCUGCCCCUAGCUCUGGGAUAGCUCCGGGAAACCGGGAUUAAUACCAGAUACGACCACUUUAGACAUCUGUUGUGGUGGAAAGAAUUUCGGCUAGGGAUGAGCUCGCGGCCUAUCAGCUUGUUGGUGAGGUAACGGCUCACCAAGGCGACGACGGGUA